UACGGGGGGGCAAGCGUUGUUCGGAAUUACUGGGCGUAAAGGGCUCGUAGGUGGCCAACUAAGUCAGACGUGAAAUCCCUCGGCUUAACCGGGGAACUGCGUCUGAUACUGGAUGGCUUGAGGUUGGGAGAGGGAUGCGGAAUUCCAGGUGUAGCGGUGAAAUGCGUAGAUAUCUGGAGGAACACCGGUGGCGAAGGCGGCAUCCUGGACCAAUUCUGACACUGGAGGAGCGAAAGCCAGGGGAGCAAACGGG
rnacentral:rRNA from 1 species